rnacentral:misc_RNA from 1 species
GAUGAAGAACGCAGCGAAAUGCGAUAAGUAAUGUGAAUUGCAGAAUUCAGUGAAUCAUCGAAUCUUUGAACGCACAUUGCGCCCGCCAGUAGUCUGGCGGGCAUGCCUGUUCGAGCGUCAUUUCAACCAUCAAGCCCCCGGCUUGUGUUGGGGACCUGCGGCUGCCGCAGGCCCUGAAAAGCAGUGGCGGGCUCGCUGUCACACCGAGCGUAGUAGAUUUCAUCUCGCUCAGGGCGUGCUGCGGGUUCCGGCCGUUAAACCACCUUCAUAACCCAAGGUUGACCUCGGAUCAGGUAGGAAGACCCGCUGAACUUAAGCAUAUCAAUAGCGGAGGA